rnacentral:rRNA from 1 species
UACGAAGGGGGCUAGCGUUGCUCGGAAUCACUGGGCGUAAAGGGCGCGUAGGCGGACUUUUAAGUCGGGGGUGAAAGCCCAGGGCUCAACCCUGGAAUUGCCUUCGAUACUGGGAGUCUUGAGUUCGGAAGAGGUUGGUGGAACUGCGAGUGUAGAGGUGAAAUUCGUAGAUAUUCGCAAGAACACCGGUGGCGAAGGCGGCCAACUGGUCCGAUACUGACGCUGAGGCGCGAGAGCGUGGGGAGCAAACAGG